rnacentral:tRNA from 1 species
GGAGAGGUGUCCGAGCGGCUGAAGGAGCAUGGUUAUCCCGUACCCAGGGUUCAAAUCCCUGUCUCUCCGCCA